rnacentral:snRNA from 1 species
AUUGCUUUUUGGCCUUUUGGCUAGGAUCAAAUGUAGUAUUUAUCUGUUCUUAUCAGUUUAAUAUUUGAUACGUCCUGUGUCUGAUGGCAACAUAUUAAAUGGAUUUUUGGAGCAGGGAGAUGGAAUAGCAGCUUGCUUUGUCCACUCUAGUAAAAAAA